rnacentral:rRNA from 1 species
CCUACGGGCGGCUGCAGUGGGGAAUUUUGGACAAUGGGCGCAAGCCUGAUCCAGCCAUUCCGCGUGAGUGAAGAAGGCCUUCGGGUUGUAAAGCUCUUUCGCAAGGGAAGAAAACUUAUCCUCUAACAUAGGAUGAGGUUGACGGUACCUUGAUAAGAAGCACCGGCUAACUACGUGCCAGCAGCCGCGGUCAUACGUAGGGUGCGUGCGUUAAUCGGAGUUACCGGGCGUAAAGUUUGAAGUGGCAGUUGAAAUCCCCGAGCUCAACUUGGGAACUGCGGUUGAAACUACAAGACUAGAAUAGGUCAGAGGGGGGUAGAAUUCCACGUGUAGCAGUGAAAUGCGUAGAGAUGUGGAGGAAUAUCAAUGGCGAAGGCAGCCCCCUGGGAUCAUAUUGACGCUCAUGCACGAAAGCGUGGGGAGCAAACAGGAUUAGAUACCCCAGUAGUC